rnacentral:rRNA from 1 species
GUGCCAGCCGCCGCGGUAAUACGUAGGGGGCAAGCGUUGUCCGGAAUUAUUGGGCGUAAAGCGCGCGCAGGCGGUCAUUUAAGUCUGGUGUUUAAGCCCGGGGCUCAACCCCGGUACGCACUGGAAACUGGGUGACUGGAGUGCAGGAGAGGGGAGUGGAAUUCCACGUGUAGCGGUGAAAUGCGUAGAGAUGUGGAGGAACACCAGUGGCGAAGGCGACUCUCUGGUCUGUAACUGACGCUGAGGCGCGAAAGCGUGGGGAGCGAACAGGAUUAGAUACCCUAGUAGUCC